GUCUCAACAACAGACUCGGUGAAAUUGUAAUUCCGGUGAAGAUGCCGGAUACCUGCGACAGGACGGCAAGACCCCAUGGAGCUUUACUGUAGCUUGACAUUGGGGCUUGGUACUACAUGUACAGGAUAGGUGGGAGGCUUUGAAACCAGGACGACAGUUUGUGCCUAGACAUCAGUGGGAUGCAGACCUUCGUG
rnacentral:rRNA from 1 species